rnacentral:rRNA from 1 species
GACGAACGCUGGCGGCGUGCUUAACACAUGCAAGUCGAACGAAGAGCGAUGGAUGCUUGCUUCUAUCAAUCUUAGUGGCGAACGUGUGAGUAACGCGUAAUCAACCUGCUCUUCAGAGGGGGACAACAGUUGGAAACGACAGCUCAUACCGCAUACGAUCUAACCUCGGCAUCGAGGAAAGAUGAAAGGUGGCCUCUAUGUAUAAGCUAUCACUGAAGGAGGGGAGUGCGUCUGAUUAGCUAGCUGGGGGGGUAACGGCCCGCCAAGGCGAUGAUCAGGAGACGGGCUGAGGGGAUGGACGGCCACAUUGGGACUGGGACACGGCCCAGACUCCUACGGGGGGCAGCAGGGGGGAAACUUCCGAAAUGGACGAAAGGCUGACGGAGGAACGCCGCGGGGGGGAUGACGGCCUUCGGGUUGUAAAGGUCGGUUAAUCGGGACGAAAGGCCUUCUUGCGAAUAGUGAGAAGGAUUGACGGUACCGGAAGAGAAAGCCACGGCUAACUACGUG